UCCAGCCUUCAUCCCAUUGUGAUCCGUCUUCAUCCACUCCUCACAUCUCGUUCACGAAUCCAACCAAACUCCCAGCUCCCGUAUCCCAUGCUCAUCACGAAUCCAACCAAACUCCCAGCUCCCGUAUCCCAUGCUCAUCACGAAUCCAACCUUCCUCCUCUUCCGAAUCCUUCCCAGCAUUUGGAUUAACUUCAUCGUCCUUCUCUUCCGGCUUGAU
rnacentral:lncRNA from 1 species